rnacentral:rRNA from 1 species
UACGUAGGGUGCGAGCGCUAAUCGGAAUUACUGGGCGUAAAGCGUGCGCAGGCGGUUUUGUAAGCCAGAUGUGAAAUCCCCGGGCUUAACCUGGGAAUGGCAUUUGGGACUGCAAGGCUUGAGUGCGGCAGAGGAGACUAGAAUUCCUGGUGUAGCAGUGAAAUGCGUAGAUAUCAGGAGGAAUACCGAUGGCGAAGGCAGGUCUCUGGGCUGACACUGACGCUCAUGCACGAAAGCGUGGGGAGCAAACAGG